rnacentral:tRNA from 3 species
GUGCCCGUAGCUCAACUGGAUAGAGCAACGGCCUUCUAAGCCGUAGGUCGGGGGUUCGAGUCCCUCCGGGCGCACCA